AUGCUUCUUAAACUUUUGUGCCAAAAUCAAACCUAUAAAGCCAAUUUUUUAAAGUUUGGAUUUGACCCAACUCAGUCCUACCAAACCGAUUUCUUUAAAUUUAGGUUUCACCUAACUCAAUCAUACGAAACUGUCUUUGUAUUGGACAUUCCAAUCAUAAAAUCAACAGAGCGGAAUAGAGCAGUCGAAUUAAGCAGAAUGGAGCGGAGUAGAACGAAAUUUAAUUUCAUUCUAUUGUUUGGAAAUUUUAGAACGGAACAAGACAAGUUGUUCAUUCCGCAUGAAUGA